GACGUAGGGCGCGAGCGUUGUCCGGAUUUAUUGGGCGUAAAGAGCUCGUAGGCGGCUUGUCGCGUCGUCCGUGAAAACCUGCGGCUCAACUGCAGGCUUGCGGGCGAUACGGGCAGGCUAGAGUUCGGUAGGGGAGACUGGAAUUCCUGGUGUAGCGGUGAAAUGCGUAGAUAUCAGGAGGAAUACCGGUGGCGAAGGCGGCAUCCUGGACCGGCAUUGACGCUGAUGAGCGAAAGCUAGGGGAGCAAACGGG
rnacentral:rRNA from 1 species